rnacentral:rRNA from 1 species
CACCGCCGCGGUAAUACGUAGGUCCCGAGCGUUGUCCGGAUUUAUUGGGCGUAAAGGGAGCGCAGGCGGUUUAGUAAGUCUGAAGCUAAAGGCAUUGGCUCAACCAAUGUAUGCUUUGGAAACUGUUAGCCUUGAGUGCAGAAGGGGAGAGUGGAAUUCCAUGUGUAGCGGUGAAAUGCGUAGAUAUAUGGAGGAACACCGGUGGCGAAAGCGGCUCUCUGGUCUGUCACUGACGCUGAGGCUCGAAAGCGUGGGCAGCGAACAGGAUUAGAUACCCGCGUAGUCCCUGUCUCUUAUACAC